rnacentral:lncRNA from 1 species
ACGGGUUUUGUCAUGGAUUUUGAGAAAUAAGCUGUUUUGGGAAGAUGAAGGCAGAAGUGAUUAUGGGGAAUUAAACAGAAGCAUCAAGAAGGAUUAAAGAUUCCAUAAGUGAUUAUCUAGGUAAGUUCCUUUAGAUAGAACCCACCAUUGGGUGUUGUGUGUAUAUUGUGAGAAAUUAACACUUUAUAGAUUUAAAUGUAUAAAUUCUAGUAC